UUAUGAUUUUUCGUGAAUUUGUUUUCUUUAUUUUGAUAUUUGUAAUCCUACUCAUUCAUGUCUUGAAUGAUUAGGGUUUUAUUUUCUCUCUUCAAUCGGUUGCUGCAAGAUGGUAAACUAAUGUCUUCAUUUGUUCUUUAUUUCUCUUUAUUAUUUUGCUAUUUUUCAUUAUACACAUUCAUCUCUUGAACAUCUCUUCAAUCGGUUGCUGCAAGAUGGUGAGCUAAUGUUUUCGUUCGUUUUCCAUGUGGGUUUGUGUUGUUUGAGGAAUACCAUAAUAUUAUGCUUGAGUUUAUGUAGGGUUGGUGUUUGCUUUUCUCAGAUUCUCUUUGUUUUGUCUGGAUGCUUUUAUGAUUCGAUUUUUUAGGCCUAUUUUGUUUUUAGGCUUUGCAAAAUCAUCAAAAAUCAAUAGGUGCUAGGAUUUUAAGUAGUGAAAUUAUGUCUAAUUCAAGUAGCAACGAGCACUCCAAUCUUCAUUACAAGGUUAUACAUUCAAAUUUCUUCAACCUAAAUCUAAUUUUAUGUAUUGAUUGAAGAUGAGAACAAAGAAAACUAUGUUGCUGCUUUUGGAGAUGAUAUACCAUCAAGUGUAUUUCUACUUAAUUUGAAAGAGAAAUUUAUGUGUGUGGUAUUUACAGUUGCAAGCAUACGGAUCGGAUGCAAAGCUUGAUGAAGAUAUUUAUGUGACUUUUUUUCCACACUGACCAAGGAGUGAAAUUUGUGGACCGCCUUUCUUCCUGUUCAUGAAAGGAAUAGGUAGACAAAUCGUUCAGCUUAACUCUUUUAAGAUUGUCGUAUACAAUAUAACUGAGAUUGUACAUUACACUUUGGUGGGGAGCUAGGCCUUAUCACUACGAGCCCCUCAUAACCCGACAAUUCUUCAUACGUACGUGGUUUCCCAUGAGAAAGUUGCAAUGCUUUUGCAUCUUGUAUUGUACUGUAGUAGCUUAACAAAUCACUACACAUUUUUUUAUUAUAAAAAAAAAUUCAGUCUUUUUAAAUAUCUUAGUUUUUGCUAAACAAGAUGUAGAGAUCCAAGAUGGGGUGUUCCUUUUAUCGGUGGAGCGUAAGUUAACUUCAAACGUAUACUUAACAAAUCUUGAAUCUUUAAAAAUUAGGUGUGUGAUUUUUUUUUUUGCACGACACAAAUCUAACAAGAAAUCCGCGGGUUUGGGUUUCGGCUAUAUGGGUUCGGGUUAUAUUAUGAAUGUUAAUUACUUAAUAUGAUGCUAACCGGUACAUUUUUAUUAUAGUUAUAUUUGUCUAAUGAUCAUAGUGACGUAAUGAUCUAUAGUAUGUUUACUUUGAAUCACUAAUAACUUUGGUCUUGGUACAAAAUAGUUCUUAUGAUGAUGCUGAUUCUAUAACAAGGUGGUCAUUGGUGGUGUGGCUAUAUUCGAAUGGUGGUUGCUACGUCGGAAGCAUGAUUAUCAUUUUGUUGAACAUUAGUUCUAACUUUGAGGUUGAUCUUUACGUGAAACGGGUUUUCAAUACAUAUGGGGGUGGUUGAAAAGUAGGGAUGCUACUACUGUGAUUCAAAUAAUCUGAUUGCCUUCUUCAAAGGCGUGACACCGUGAUCGAGCUCGAUAAUAUGGGGUUCAUGUAUUUCAUCAACCAAUACUGAUGAUGGAUGAUAUCUAUAGCAUGAAUUGCAAAGCUGAGCUUACAGUAAUGUAAUUUGUAGUUUUAUUUAUAUUUCUUUUAUUAACAGAGAUUACUUGUAUAAUUUGAGUUGUUCAACCCGUGUAUUACACGGGUAGAUAACCUAGUAACUAAAUAAAACAAGAUAUAAAAUAUAAUUUUA